rnacentral:rRNA from 1 species
AUUGAACGCUGGCGGCAGGCCUAACACAUGCAAGUCGAGCGAGCGGCGGACGGGUGAGUAAUGUAUGGGGACUGCCCGAUAGAGGGGGAUAACUACUGGAAACGGUAGCUAAUACCGCAUACAAUCGGAUAACCCAUAUGGGAUUAGCUCGUAGGUGAGGUAAUGGCUCACCUAGGCGACGAUCCCUAGCUGGUCUGAGAGGAUGAUCAACCUGACUGGAACUGAGACACGGCCCAGACUCCUACGGAGGCAGCAGUGGGUAAUAUUGCACAAUGGGCGCAAGCCUGAUGCAGCCAUGCCGCGUGUGUGAAGAAGGCCCUAGGGUUGUAAAGUACUUUCAGUCGGGAGGCGUUACCUACAGAAGAAGCACCGGCUAACUCCGUGCCAGCAGCCGCGGUAAUAC